rnacentral:rRNA from 1 species
AGUGAACGCUGGCGGCAGGCCUAACACAUGCAAGUCGAACGGCAGCACAGGAGAGCUUGCUCUCUGGGUGGCGAGUGGCGGACGGGUGAGGAUAGCGUCGGAAUCUGCCUAUUUGUGGGGGAUAACCUCGGGAAACCGGGACUAAUACCGCAUACGACCUACGGGUGAAAGCGGAGGACCUUCGGGCUUCGCGCAGAUAGAUGAGCCGACGUCGGAUUAGCUAGUUGGCGGGGUAAUGGCCCACCAAGGCGACGAUCCGUAGCUGGUCUGAGAGGAUGAUCAGCCACACUGGAACGGAGACACGGUCCAGACUCCUACGGGAGGCAGCGGUGGGGAAUAUUGGACAAUGGGCGCAAGCCUGAUCCAGCCAUGCCGCGUGGGUGAAGAAGGCCUUCGGGUUGUAAAGCCCUUUUGUUGGGAAAGAAAAGCAGCCGGUUAAUACCCGGUUGUCAUGACGGUACCCAAAGAAUAAGCACCGGCUAACUUCGUGCCAGCCGCCGCGGUAA